AGAGCAGGACAAAUGACCGCUGCCUUGCUUUCAAGCAGGGGGGAGGAAAGUCCGGGCUCCGCAGGACAAGGUGCUGGGUAACACCCAGUCCCGGCGACGGGAAGGAAAGUGCAACAGAAAGGAAACCGCCCUGACAGGCAGUCUUGUCUGACGGGGUAAGGGUGAAAGGGUGAGGUAAGAGCUCACCAGCCCCGCCGGUGACGGCGGGGGCUCGGCAAACCCCACCUGGAGCAAGACCAAAUAGGGGAACGACUGAGGGUGGUCCGCCCAAGUUCCCGGGUAGGUCGCUUGAUCUCGGCGGCAACGCCGAGCUUAGAUGAAUGGUCAUUGUCCCGAAGGCGGGUGACCCCUUCGGGAAACAGAACCCGGCUUAUGACCUGCUCUGACA
rnacentral:RNase_P_RNA from 2 species